rnacentral:rRNA from 1 species
AAUAGAUACCCGGGUAGUCCACGCCGUAAACGUUGGGCGCUAGAUGUGGGGACCAUUCCACGAUUUCCGUGUCGCAGCUAACGCAUUAAGCGCCCCGCCUGGGGAGUACGGCCGCAAGGCUAAAAACUCAAAGGAAUUGACGGGGGGCCCGCACAAGCGGCGGAGCAUGCGGAUUAAUUCGAUGCAACGCGAAGAACCUUACCAAGGCUUGACAUAUACGAGAACGCUCUAGAAAUAGAGAACUCUUUGGACACUCGUAUACAGGUGGUGCAUGGUUGUCGUCAGCUCGUGUCGUGAGAUGUUGGGUUAAGUCCCGCAACGAGCGCAACCCUCGUUCUAUGUUGCCAGCGGUUCGGCCGGGAACUCAUAGGAGACUGCCGGGGUCAACUCGGAGGAAGGUGGGGAUGACGUCAAAUCAUCAUGCCCCUUAUGUCUUGGGCUUCACGCAUGCUACAAUGGCCGGUACAAAGGGCUGCAAUACCGCAAGGUGGAGCGAAUCCCAAAAAGCCGGUCUCAGUUCGGAUUGAGGUCUGC